rnacentral:tRNA from 1 species
GCCUGGGUGGCUCAGUUGGUUGAGCAUCUGGCUUUGGCUCAGGUCAUGAUCUUACGGUUUAUGAGUUCAAGCCCCAUGCUGGGCU